rnacentral:lncRNA from 1 species
GGUGCUCAUGCUUAUUGGGUUUCAUUUUGUGUUGGGGUUAAUUGAUUUGGAACACACAACUUAGUGUAAGGGAAGGUAAAGAUGUUUUCAAUGAAUUGAUUUCUUGAAUAGCAUUUCCUCCUGUUGUUGUGGUUAUGGUCAAUGACCGUGAGAACUUGGCUUAUGGCUUGCUGGAAUCGGAAUUAGAUUGGGGAAAUCUGUUUAGUUUUGUGUUUUGUUGUUCCUUUUCUCGGUGUUGAUUGAAUAAGCUAUGGUGUUGUGAUGUUGAGGGGUCAUAUUGGGUUGGCUUGGUCUCUUCUGUUUUCCUUUUUUGUUUGAUGCAGGAGAGCUAGGAGCAGGGGUGACAAGGAGGACGAGAAUGAGGAUAUUGUAGUCAAAACCAUGUAUGGGAAGUCAAAGGGUGAAUACGGGAGGAUGAUGGUGAUGCUGGGUGAGGGUAAAGAUUACUAAUACAAGACAAGAAUGUGGCUAGAGGUUUCAGGUUAUAGAAGAAAUGGCGGAAGGGAAAUAUUCGCACAACGAUACAUACUCACACAGGGCAGCAAUCAAGCAUAAAGCAACAUACAAUGCAGCCAUAUUACAUGAUGAUUCAAGUGAGGAAAGUGUUACCUCUUGGAGUGUUGUUAUCGAUUGUUAAACUCUGGGAACCUCUGC